AAGUUUAUUUUUUUUUUAAAAAAUAGAUUUAAAAUUUUGACAUUAUUUCAAAAUUUUGAUGUAAAUUUUUAAUAUUUAAUUUUUAAUUUGAAUUUAAAUUAAUAUAUUAUAAAGAUAAUGUUAGUAUAUUAAUUUGAUUACGUUUUUUAUAUCCACCUGAACCAAACACUGAUAAUGGAAAUGAUUUAUUCCGAUUUCGAUUCAGGUGAUGAACCAAACAGAAUUAGGUAAUGAGUCAUUCCGAUUCCGAUUCCAGCUUAUUUUGAUUCCGAUUCCGAUUGCGAUUCCGACUCCGACUUCGAACCAAACACGCCCUAAGUCUUAAUUUGGUAUUGGGAUAAAAGCAUAUAAGGAUAUGCUUCUGCGUUCUUCGGUGGGACAACAGAAAAUAUAUCAUAAUCGACUCAUCGCGAAACGCAAUAUUACAUACAGAAACAAACAGAGUACUUUUUUUAUCAUACUUUUUCACCAUCCGUAACGCAAUUUAUCUGCAAUCCCAAACAAAACCUCAAACUUGUCUACUAAUCUUAACUAUAACUUUUAAUAAAAAAAUAUAUAAUCAAGAAGA
rnacentral:lncRNA from 1 species